rnacentral:rRNA from 1 species
GAUGACCGCUGGCGGCGUGCUUAACACAUGCAAGUCGAACGGGAAAUAUUUCAUUGAGACUUCGGUGGGUUUGAUCUAUUUCUAGUGGCGGACGGGUGAGUAACGCGUGGGUAACCUGCCUUAUACAGGGGGAUAACAGUCAGAAAUGGCUGCUAAUACCGCAUAAGCGCACAGAGCUGCAUGGCUCAGUGUGAAAAACUCCGGUGGUAUAAGAUGGACCCGCGUUGGAUUAGCUUGUUGGUGGGGUAACGGCUCACCAAGGCGACGAUCCAUAGCCGGCCUGAGAGGGUGAACGGCCACAUUGGGACUGAGACACGGCCCAGACUCCUACGGGAGGCAGCAGUGGGGAAUAUUGCACAAUGGGGGGAACCCUGAUGCAGCGACGCCGCGUGAAGGAAGAAGUAUCUCGGUAUGUAAACUUCUAUCAGCAGGGAAGAUAGUGACGGUACCUGACUAAGAAGCCCCGGCUAACUACGUGCCAGCAGCCGCGGUAAUACGUAGGGGGCAAGCGUUAUCCGGAUUUACUGGGUGUAAAGGGAGCGUAGACGGUGUGGCAAGUCUGAUGUGAAAGGCAUGGGCUCAACCUGUGGACUGCAUUGGAAACUGUCAUACUUGAGUGCCGGAGGGGUAAGCGGAAUUCCUAGUGUAGCGGUGAAAUGCGUAGAUAUUAGGAGGAACACCAGUGGCGAAGGCGGCUUACUGGACGGUAACUGACGUUGAGGCUCGAAAGCGUGGGGAGCAAACAAGAUUAGAUACCCUGGUAGUCCACGCCGUAAACGA